rnacentral:lncRNA from 1 species
CGAUUCUUGAUAUCUAAUUCAUUUAUCCUUAUAACUCGCAAAUAUUCAAGUAAUCAAAAAUUUGAUCUGGUGCAUAUAUGCACCCUACUCAUAUAUAUUGCACCACAAAGAAUUAGGAGUCAUGACACAAAUUAAACUAAAACGUGAAAUGGCAUUUUCUUCUCCCUGCUUGUUUUUGUUCAUUCUCGUUUCAGUAACCUGUCUUUAUUUCCAAUUCACAUCUGCAGAAACCGACAUGAAAGCUUCUGAUUUGGUUAGUGAAAUAUGCUCGAAAACACGAAAUAUCUCCGAGUGUUUGUAUGAAUUAAGAGGAGACGAGGGAAAAAACCUUAGCCAAAUAGCCCAAUCAUUAACUUUCGUAGCACGUGUUACGGCAUUUUUAGUGAAUGACAUAGCUCAAUUGUGUGAAAAACAAGUAAAAAAUUAUCUCCAGAAGGAGAGAUGUCGUUCGUGCGUGGAGAAUUAUGUUCGUAUCAUGGAAGAUCUUGUAGAUUGGAAGCAAUCUGUCGACUCUGGAAACUAUCAAAAUCUGCCAUCAAAAGCAGAUGCCAUGUCGAAAGAGGCUGAAUCAUGUGACAAAAACUUUGAACAGCCACCAAGUGAACCUCCACAACUCAUACUAGGCACAAAAACUUUUCUAGAUAUUUGUAGCAUCCUUGUGGUUGUUUCCUAUAAAUUAGCAGGUCGAAUUAUCUAAUUUUUAUUUAAUUUCGAAAGUAUAAUCUACAAAAUAAUGCUUAUCGUUGACCUCAAUUAAGGAAAAUUUUCUGCGUU